GCAUAACGCGAAGAACCUUACCAAGGCUUGACAUGCAUCUCUAAGCGCGUGAAAAGCGCGUGACCCUUCGGGGGGUAUUUGCACAGGUGCUGCAUGGCCGUCGUCAGCUCGUGUCGUGAGAUGUUGGGUUAAGUCCCGCAACGAGCGCAACCCUUGUGACUAGUUGCCAGCACGUUAUGGUGGGAACUCUAGUCAGACUGCCCAGAUCAACUGGGAGGAAGGUGGGACGACGUCAGGUCAGUAUGGCCCUUACGCCUUGGGCUGCACACGUACUACAAUGCCCAGCACAAUGAGAACCCGAGACCGCGAGGUUGGAGGAAAUCUAAAAAACCUGGGCCCAGUUCGGAUUGGAGGCUGCAACUCGCCUCCAUGAAGUUGGAAUCGCUAGUAAUGGCGCAUCAUCUACGGCGCCGUGAAUACGUUCCCGGG
rnacentral:rRNA from 1 species